UAGGGCAUUUACGGGCGAGAGAUCACCUUAGUGACAUGUUAUGGCAUUUAUGGGUGAGAGGUCGCCUUUGUUGCCACGUUAGGGCAUUUAUUGGGCGAGAGAUUGCCUUUGUUGCCACAUUAGGGCAUUUCUUGGGAGAAAGAUCGCCUUAAUGAACCUUACGGCCUUUACUAGAGAGAAGAUAAGCAGAAGUCUUUAUUGAUAA
rnacentral:misc_RNA from 1 species